GUGAGGGGAACAUGGGAAAUUUCAUGAAAUGGUUUUAGAAAUCUGUACUUGGAAGUUAACACUCUGGAAGCGGAUUCUCUUUAGAUCAUUCAUCAACAUUUACCCCCUUGAAAGUCUGUAGACCCUCAGGUGUACUUGAACCUGGAUUUGAAGACAGUGGCCACAGGAAGAUGGAGGCUGGGUUUGACACACCAGGGUGACUGCUGCUGCUGCUGCUGCUGCUGCUGCUGCUGCUGCUGCUGCUAUGGAAGUCUCCACUGAAACCUGCCAAGGAGUAAAGAUGAGGACACUUCCUUGGUGCCCCUCAAACCGAGUCCCAGUGGCCUUGUCUGUGUCCCUACCACAGACCUCUAUCCUGCUCUCCAAGGCUUGCUUGUCACUAAGGCAGAACUAUGCCCAGGGUUUCUUCCACAGAAGCUUGCUUCUCUUGUCUGGAAUUGUUAAGCCUGUCCCAUGUGGGAAGGACCAAAUGUAGGGCAGCCUUCUUUCAGGACUUGGGAAGAACCCAAGGACAAAGCUUAGUUCCUUCCUACUAGUAGGUUUAGCUCCAACAUGUUCCUCCUCACCAGUACCUCCUUCUCCCCUCCCCAUCGAAUUAAUUCAGGUGGAAUGGGGAUGGACUUGGAGAAGCACAGUUCACUAGAAGAGGGGGAACGGGGCUGGGAGGAGCUGACUCAUUGCAGCACAGCUGACAGUAGGCUGAGUCGGGGCUGGUUACAGGGUCCUCCUCAUGGCGCGGUCAGAGCUGACCUGGGGAGCACUCGUGCAAUGAAAAUUAAAUGUGCUCAAAACUUCUAAGUCUCUGAAAUUGGCCUCUGAAUACAGCUCACAGGGUGGUAUUUUUGUGCUACAUUGGAGACCAUCUCUCAAAACAACACCGACUGGGGGGACUUUUCCCUGGCAGUCCAGUGGUUAAGACUCUGCACUUCCAAUGCAAGGGGUAUGGAUUCGAUCCCUGGGCUGGGAACUAAGAUCCCACAUGCUGAGUAGCAGGGGGGAAAAAAUCCAGUGGGAAAACCACAUUUUUUUAUUCUGGCCAAGUAAGGACAAAUUGGUAUCUCUUUGGUCAAACACUAGAGGAGUAGUUGGCUUACAUGUAAGCAUUAUAUUCUAUAUAAAGUAUAUUUCUUUAAACGUGAGAAUCAUACUUAGUAUGUGGGUGCCCUCCUGGGGCAAGAGGGAGCUGGGACCUCUGAGGGCCGAGCAGAGCCCCAUUUCUCAUGCCUUCCUUGUGUCAGUGCAGGACUCGCGGGCAAAAGCACUGAGAGUACUUACAUGGCCAUUGAAAACUCCCCCUCUCCCUUUCCUGGCUCUGCAACUUGGAGCUGAAUUGCGUAAGUCUGCAUCUGUGUAUCAGACGUCUCUACCAUAUCCCCUCACCCCUCCACUGUUUCCACUCACUGUAGGAAGGGAGCAGAUAUUUGUGGGUGGUUCCAGGCCAGGCCCUGCACUGGGCAAUCUGUGCAGCUCUGUCAGACAGGAGUUAGAACAGGAGCCCCGCAACCUCACCCCACAAUCCAUUUAA
rnacentral:lncRNA from 1 species